AGAAUCAACGCUGGCGGCGUGCCUCAGACAUGCAAGUCGAACGAGAAGUCCCCUUCGGGGGAUGGAUAGUGGCGCACGGGUGAGUAACACGUGGGUAAUUUACCUUUGGGUGGGAACAACAGCCGGAAACGGCUGCUAAUACCGCAUAAUGCAGCGGCUCCUCAUGGAGACAGUUGUUAAAGCGGGGGAUCGCAAGACCUCGCGCCUGAAGAGAAGCCCCGCGGCAGAUAGCUAGUUGGUAAGGUAAUGGCUUACCAAGGCGACGAUCUGUAACCGGCCUGAGAGGGCGGUCGGUCACACUGACACUGACAUACGGGUCAGACUCCUA
rnacentral:rRNA from 1 species